rnacentral:rRNA from 1 species
CCUACGGGAGGCAGCAGUAAGGAAUAUUGGUCAAUGGACGCAAGUCUGAACCAGCCAUGCCGCGUGGAGGAUGAAGGUCCUCUGGAUUGUAAACUUCUUUUAUUUGGGAAGAAACCCACGAUUUCUAUUGUGGUUGACGGUACCAGAUGAAUAGGCACCGGCUAACUCCGUGCCAGCAGCCGCGGUAAUACGGAGGGUGCAAGCGUUAUCCGGAUUCACUGGGUUUAAAGGGUGCGUAGGCGGGCAGGUAAGUCAGUGGUGAAAUCUCCGAGCUUAACUUGGAAACUGCCGUUGAUACUAUCUGUCUUGAAUGCUGUGGAGGUAAGCGGAAUAUGUCAUGUAGCGGUGAAAUGCUUAGAUAUGACAUAGAACACCUAUUGCGAAGGCAGCUUGCUACACAGAAAUUGACGCUGAGGCACGAAAGCGUGGGGAUCAAACAGGAUUAGAUACCCUGGUAGUCCACGCCCUAAACGAUGGAUACUCGACANANANACGANACACAGUAGUGUGUGAGAGAAGAGAUAAGUAAGUACCUACCGUUACGGAGUAACGACCGACGAGUUAGUUAAGUUAAAGUAAGUUAGAGCGNGAGAGNGCGAGAGACACGAGGAGGAGG